rnacentral:rRNA from 1 species
GACGAACCGUGCGAACGUUGUUCGGAAUCACUGGGCUUAAAGGGCGCGUAGGCGGCUUGCCAAGUCGGGGGUGAAAUCUUUCGGCCCAACCGGAAAAGUGCCCCCGAUACUGGCAGGCUCGAGCGAGGCAGGGGCGGGGGGAACUUCCGGUGGAGCGGUGAAAUGCGUUGAUAUCGGAAGGAACGCCGGUGGCGAAAGCGCCCCGCUGGGCCUCUCCUGACGCUGAGGCGCGAAAGCCAGGGGAGCAAACGGG